CGGCGCCCCAAGUGGCAAUCGCGUUUAUUGGGCCUAAAGCGUCCGUAGCCGGACUGAUAAAUCCGCUGUGAAAUCGUCGUGCUUAACGCGACGGCAUGCAGUGGACACUGUCAGUCUCGAGACCGGGAGGAGCAAGAGGUAUGCCUUGGGGACUGGUAAAAUGGUAUAAUCCAAGGUAGACCACCGAUGGCGAAGGCAUCUUGCCAGAACGGAUCUGACGGUGAGGGACGAAAGCCAGGGGAGCGAACCGGAUUAGAUACCCGAGUAGUCC
rnacentral:rRNA from 1 species